AGUGAACGCUGGCGGUAGGCCUAACACAUGCAAGUCGAACGGCAGCACAGUAAGAGCUUGCUCUUACGGGUGGCGAGUGGCCGACGGGUGAGGAAUACAUCGGAAUCUACUUUUUCGUGGGGGAUAACGUAGGGAAACUUACGCUAAUACCGCAUACGACCUACGGGUGAAAGCAGGGGAUCUUCGGACCUUGCGCGAUUGAAUGAGCCGAUGUCGGAUUAGCUAGUUGGCGGGGUAAAGGCCCACCAAGGCGACGGUCCGUAGCUGGUCUGAGAGGAUGAUCAGCCACACUGGAACUGAGACACGGUCCAGACUCCUACGGGAGGCAGCAGUGGGGAAUAUUGGACAAUGGGCGCAAGCCUGAUCCAGCCAUACCGCGUGGGUGAAGAAGGCCUUCGGGUUGUAAAGCCCUUUUGUUGGGAAAGAAAAGCAGCAGGUUAAUACCCCGCUGUUCUGACGGUACCCAAAGAAUAAGCACCGGCUAACUUCGUG
rnacentral:rRNA from 1 species